GUGAACUCAUUUCCCUAUGCAUAUGGACGAUCGUUCUCCAACUCCAACUCCAACCCCCCGGGCCCAGAAUAAAGGCGAUGAAGGUAUCACCUGCCCACAAUACACCACGUCCAAUCUUCAUUUGCACUGAAGCCACUGGAAGGUAACAAGAAACAAAGCACACAGAUCUUGGACAACCAAAACAUCUUUAUGUAAAUAACAUUUUUAACCACUAAUCCCCAAAAACCUGUUUGCACUGUACAAGAAAGGUGCAAUCAUUUUUCCUAUUCUGUACAAUAAAUUUAAAAUCUUCAAGAAUCUAAGCCACAAAAUCAAAUGCAAAGAAUGGUUUUAAUAUAUGUAUGGAC